GACGAACGCUGGCGGCGUGCUUAACACAUGCAAGUCGAACGGAAAGGCCCGGCAACUGUGGGUUGCUUGAGUGGCGAGCGGGUGAGUAACAAGUGAGUGACCUGCCCUUGACUACAGGAUAACGACAGGAAACCUGGUACAAUAUCGGCUAGGAGCCCCUGCUGCAAGGCGGGGGUUGGAAAGUUUCGGCGGUUGGGAAUGGACUCGCGGGGUAUUAGCUUAUUGGGGGGGUAGUGUCUUACCAAGGCUUGGGGGGGAAGCCGGCCUGAGAGGGUGACCUGCCCCAUUGGGGGUGAGAUACGGCCCAGACUCUUACGCGGGGGAGCAGAGGGGAAUAUUGCACGAUGGGCGGGAGCGUGAUGCAGCAACGCCGCGUGCGGGAUGACGGCCUUCGGGUUGUAAACCGCUUUCGCCUGUGACGAGGAGUGAGGGACGGUAAUGGGGAAAGAAGCACCGGCUAACCACGU
rnacentral:rRNA from 1 species